GGAAUGAUGGCCGAAAAAGGUGAAACAUUGUAAGUGUUUAUAUGAUAAAAAUAUCUCUUUCCA
rnacentral:tRNA from 1 species